AUGAAAGGAAUUCUUAAAAUAAUAUCAACACUCUUAGAAAUUCCCUCCAAAGACUACAAGAUAAAGUGAAAUAUAUAACGAAAAAAGUAAAGACUAAAUCUAGAGAAAAGUUAUUUUGCUAGGUACGUAUGAUCUUCCUCCCUCCCUUUCUAUAAAAAGGAUGUCAUAUUUUUAUUGAAAGGGAGGGAGGAAGAUCAUACGUACCUAGCAAAAUAACUUUUCUCUAGAUUUAGUCUUUACAAAAUAUGACAUCCUUUUUAUAGGAAUCAAAUCUCAUAAGGUGCCAUGAUGCCUCGUGGUUCUUUUGCCAUGAUGCCCGUGCUUCUAUUGCCAUGAUCGUCGUGAUCUCUUUUUAUUCCUUUAUUUGCUUUAUCAUGAUAUUUGCAAUUCCUGCAAAAUGCUAUUAGAAAAUACAGAUAAUUGACACACACACACAUAUUAUUUAAAAUAAUUUAUUUUUAAGUAUAUAAUAUAUGAAUAUUUUAUAUCCAUCAGUUUUGUAUUACAUCCUUUCCUAAUUUUCGUUUUUGCUUAGGUAUCCCAAGAAAACUGACUUGUUUCCAAAGUUAUACCACCAAACUUUAUAGAAUUCUAAAGUGAACCCCAUCUAGAAUGUCCUAGAGGACUCCAUUCAGAUUUUAAAAGAUCCCCUACCCUUGUAUUACCCCAAUUACCUCUCUUGGUAAACUAAAAUUACUAACUAUGACCAAACAGUUUCCUAAAAUUCUAAUUUACCAAUUAUUGAAGAACAGACAUUGUUUUAUCUGUUGUGAACUCCAAAUUAACUACCAAUUACCAAAAGAACACUGAUGAAUGAUUCACUUUAUACCAAACCAAAUUAUAUUAUCAGAGGAAAGAAUACUAACACAAUCUCACUAAUAAGAACAAACAACAAACAGAACCAUAAAAGAACAGAAUCGAACAGCAAAAAUCACCUAACAAUCAUUUAACAAAAUCUAAGCUGAAUAGCUCAAAGACAAAUGUAAAAUGCGAAGCUAAUAUAUAAAUGGAAAACCUAGGCUGAAUUGUUAAAUAAUUAACACUAAUAUGCCGGAAACUGAUUCAAUUAUUAGAACGACCUAAUUAAACUAAGCGAUUAAACCAAGCAGAAAUGGUAAACGAAUUUGAACCCAAUAGGAAUUCGGAGAGAGUAAGAAGACGACAGAAAUGGAGGGGGGAUAAUAGAGGGAAAAAGACAAACAACUAUAAACACAAAAUAUAAAGAAAACUUACCAUCCUAAGAGUUCGAUUUCAAAAAUUCCAAGAAAAAGCACAGAAUCCUAACAUCGCGAGUUUCGGUUCUUCAUAUUCGACUUUUGAGGGAUUUGACUGGCAUUCGAGAGAGGGGGAGGAUAGAUACAAGGCGAGGGGGUCUGGUGGUUAAGCGGUACCAAUUUGAGGGUGAUAUAAGGAAUUUAGGGGUUCUGGUCAUGAAUUUCGAACAAAUAUUCGAGAAGAUGGGCACUAAUUCGAGGAAAACUGAGGUGAGAUAUAGAGAGAGGAAGGGGAAAGGAGCAUGGGGUGUGAUUUUGGAGUGGUUUGGAGCUUCGCCGCCGUUGUGGGCGAUUUCCGGCGGCAGUAGACGGUGGUGCAGCAGGGGGUACGAGGAAGAUGAAGAAUGUCGUUUAGGCUUAUGGGAUUUUCGAACAAUUAAAUUAAAAUGUAAUGCCCACUGGUGACCGUUGGAUCA
rnacentral:lncRNA from 1 species